UACGAGGGGGGCGAGCGUUGUUCGGAAUUAUUGGGCGUAAAGGGUGCGUAGGCGGCCUGACAAGUCUGAUGUGAAAUCCCUGGGCUCAACCCAGGGCCUGCAUCGGAAACUGUCGGGCUUGAGUAUGGGAGAGGUGAGUGGAAUUUCCGGUGUAGCGGUGAAAUGCGUAGAUAUCGGAAGGAACACCUGUGGCGAAAGCGGACUCACUGGACCAUUACUGACGCUGAGGCACGAAAGCUAGGGAGCAACAGGA
rnacentral:rRNA from 1 species